CUUCAUGUGCCGAGCAAUAUCCUGCUUGGUCUUGAAAUGUUUCUUACAAACAUCACACUUGAACUCUCUCAGGCCAGAGUGUCUGAAGAUGUGCUUGUCCAACACAGACAUAGAAAUGAACCUCUUGCCACACUCUUGGCAUUCAUGAGGUCUUUCACCAGUGUGUCUAAGGGUGUGUAUGUUGAGGUUACUCUUAUCACUGAACUUUUUGCCACACUCACGGCAUUCAUGAGGUCUUUCACCAGUGUGUGUAAGGGCGUGUUUCUUGAGGUCACUCUUCCUGCUGAUCUUUUUGCCACACUCUUGGCAUUCAUGAGGUCUUUCACCAGUGUGUGUAAGGGUGUGUUUCUUGAGGUCACUCUUCGUACUGAACUUUUUGCCACACUCACGGCAUUCAUGAGGUCUUUCACCAGUGUGUGUAAGGGUGUGUGUGUUGAGGUUACU